rnacentral:rRNA from 1 species
CGGACGGGUGAGUAACGCGUGGAUAACCUGCCUCACACUGGGGGAUAACAGUUAGAAAUGGCUGCUAAUACCGCAUAAGCGCACAGUACCGCAUGGUACGGUGUGAAAAACCCAGGUGGUGUGAGAUGGAUCCGCGUCUGAUUAGCCAGUUGGCGGGGUAACGGCCCACCGAAGCGACGAUCAGUAGCCGACCUGAGAGGGUGACCGGCCACAUUGGGACUGAGACACGGCCCAA